AUUUUAGCCUUUUUUUUUUCAUGUUGAUGAAGUUGGUUAAUGGGUCGCAACUUUGGCUGAAAUGUUUGUUAUAUGAGCUGCAUUUGAAGUGUGAUUUCUAUGUAGUAGAAUAAUUUGGUAACUAAUGAGAGGUUAGCAAAUUUUUUAUCCCUAUUCUGGCCAGAGUCGAGAUCUACCCAAUUGCUUUUGUUAAGUUGAUUUAUUAGAUGCUAUGCAGCAAAAAUAGUCUUAAAUUGAUUUAUUAGAUGCUAUGCAGCAAAAAUAGUCUUAAA
rnacentral:misc_RNA from 1 species